CCUCACGAACUCUGAGUUGGAAAUCUCCCCCAACCUCACAAACUGAGAACUCUAACUCACCCUCUAAUCUCAUGAAAUCAAAAGUCACGAACCGAGUACUCAAACUUACCCCCUCGCCGUCAUAAUCUCAAACUGUGUCGAUUACAUCUCCGACGAUUUCACGCCUUCGAUUUCACCGUUGUCAAUUUCACCCUCACCUUAUCAUUCUCCACUCUUCUCUGAAAAUCGAGGGUUAGGGUUUCAACUAUGACUUCGAUUUUCAAAACCUUCUCGCGAAACCCUUAUUUGUGAGAACCAUUGACCUACUUUUCAAAAACCCCAGAUAUUGAUGAUUACCUCGCGUCGGAGGAAACUUCGAGGAGCCUUUGCCUUUUCUUUCUCUUUCUUUUUUUUCUUCAUUUUCUCUUUUCUAUUUCAAUGAUUUUAAACGGUGAUUGAAUUUUGUAGGAAAAAGCUGCUCUAGCUCAUUAUCGAUAUGUUGAGACUCAUAAAUCUGUUUGACAUAUGGAAACAACAACAAAGAUAAUUCAAAUAGGGCUCUGUUGUUGCAUUUAAUUUCUCUUUCAUUGAAGGGUUUCUAGUUUUCUCUUUCUCUGAACGCCUCUGCUGUGGUCUUCAUCUCAGGUGAAGAAUGGAGGAAAAAGCCAACUAGGAAGACUACUGACUGAGUUUUUCAGAAUAUAGCAACAAGUUUAUUCAUGGUCCCCGUUUUGAUCCUCCGUCAAAAGAAAACGUCAAACAAAUGAUGCAGGUAUUAAAUUUUUAUGUUCAAGGAACUCUAUCAUACUGCAUUCACGUCUCUGAUGCAUUUGUGAGCCUUAGAGAAUAGAGACAAGAGGAAUGUUGAAGAUUAAACAUGUGUGUGCUUGUAUGGAUGUGCUAAACAGAGAGAGGUUGUAUGAAGAUGAGGAGUUUGUUCAGCACCAAGGGUAACUUCCAGCACUACUUGUAUCAAAGGUCCUUUAUUACUUGGGGGAGCUGAAUUCCAGUUGAUAAAGAAUCAAAAUCUAAUCGUUGUUCUUCGCUCAUAGCUGCAUCAAUCUUGCCGUCAUAUUUCGCUUUCAGCCACACCAGUAUUGUCGUUUUUGUCAGCAACCGGGGCUCACCAAUCUAGCAAUCGUCCUUAAAUUCUAACGUCACCAAUCUCGCUGUUGUUCGUAGAUUCUGGAUUCUCACCAAUCUCCUUGUAGCUAUUGUAAUCUUAAUGUUUUUAGUUGACAAGUUAGGUAGAAGAAAAUUAUUUCUAUGAAGAUGCAUUAGAAAUUUUAUAGCUACAAUUGUUUCAAGUUAAUUCUGAAUUCUGA